CCACCCAAUGCGCCGCCAAUACCGGCUUCGGUGGUGCCGCCUGCGCUGGCAACGCCACUGAGCAGGCUAAGGGACAACAGAAGAAUCGAGGAGUACUUCAUACGAAAGCCUCAAAGGGAUGACGCGGCGAUCCUGCGUCCGGCGCGUGAGGCUGACAAUUGAAAUCCGACGAGUAGCACGACUGUCACACAUAUUUCUAACUUAUUGAUUUCAUGGUGAAACUUAUCGUGUUUUUGCGUGUCUUAGGUUACUUGCGGGAUGAGGCUCUGACGGAUGUCAGGGCCUUUUUUGUGGGCGGGGGGAUUUGUGGUGUUGCUGAGGGCCUCAUCGCUGGCAAGCCAGCUCCCACAGGAUCC
rnacentral:sRNA from 1 species